ACCUUCAGUCUCCUUCAGUGUGGGGAGGCUGGGGACAGCUCGUGGGAUCCUGCUGUGCAGAACAUCCUUCAUUUCAAUGUCAGCCCCUCUUUUGUGGGGGCAGGAGGUGGUUGGCUCCGACAAGGUUUUGAGGGAAUCCCUUGGAGGUACUGGAUACAGCUGACUGUGUAAUCUUGCUGUGCACCCCCUCGGUCUGCGGGUCACCCUCAAAUGCGCUGUGUGCCUGUCUACGGGGCCCUGGGCUGAGAUUGCUGAUGGUUUGAUAGUGGGUGGAGUGCAUCGUCCGUCCUUUUCCCUCAGCACAGAUCCCUCCCACCUCUCGUCACCCCCUCACCCUCCAAAAUGUGGUAUUGAUAUAGCAAAUGUCUACGAGACAUGGUGAGGAGAUUGCAACAUGUUGAAAACGUAAGGCAGGGGAGGACGUUUCAAUCAAAACAUAGAGGAAAUGGGGAGAGAGAGAGAGAGAGAGAGAGAAAUAGAAAUCGAUUGAUUGCCGAGAGCAGGAAAAGCUGAGCAGAGGUGGAGAGGUCGAUAGGGACGAAGAGAGGAAGAUAGAGGGAGAGAGGAGUAAAAGAGAGAGAGAGCGAUAGGGGCAGAGACAGACAGCGAGAAAGAGAUUGAUUCUCGAGAGCAGCAGAAAGCUGAACAGAGAUGGAGAGGUGGAUAAGGAGAGAGAGAGAGAGAAAGUUUGAUCAAUUUCUGAAAGCAGGAGAAAGCUGAGCAGAGAUAGAGAUGUAGAUUGGGACAGAGAGAGAGAGAGAGAGAAAGGUAAGUGUAUCAGUUCAUCAUUAAUAUUUCAUGUAGAAACAACACCAAUCCCAGAAGUAGUGGGCAUGGGGUCUGUGCCUGAUGAAUGGGAGUGGGAUGGUCAUUGGUCUUUUUUUGGGUUUUAUUUUACCAUCAGGAUGUCGGAAAACCAGCUGGAGGGACGAAGGGAGAGACACAGGCUCUGGGAGGAGUGACUCCCCACCAUUGAGUCAUUGCCCGGCCUCUCAGAAAGUAAACACUGGAGGCAGUCAGAAAGCAUUUGCCCCUUGAUCCCAGAUCAAAUCUGUUCUUCUUCUCUGGGUUUAAAAUCAGGGGAAAAUGCUGAAAAUUUGGGAAAAUUUUGAAAAUCGGUCUGUGAUGGAAUCUCAUAUGUUCCUCUUCAUUUUUGUUUCAAAACUUUGGCUUUGAUGUGAUCAAUUUCCUUCUCUUCCCCCUGAGGAGAUUACUGAGAGACUGAAGCUUGGACACGUAAAGAGAUUCGGGAGCUGAAAUUUGGGAUGAUGCACAGACUGAGAGAAUCAAAUGGUUCUGCCGUGAGCAAUCUUCAGACAAGAGCUGGAACCAGAGAGAAAGAGAGAGAUGAAAGCAUUAUAAUAAA